rnacentral:RNase_P_RNA from 1 species
UCAGGCGGCCAGGCGACCGCGGGGGCCUUUUCGGCCUUCGAGGAAAGUCCGGGCUCCAUGGCGGCGGGGUGCCGGAUAACGUCCGGCCAGCGCGAGCUGAGGGAUAGCGCCACAGAGAAAGACGUCCUCGCCCCGGCGAGGUCACGGUGAAAAGGUGGGGUAAGAGCCCACCGCCGCUCCGGCAACGGAUGCGGGUCAAGGCAAGCCCCACCCGGAGCAAGACCGAAUAGGGACGGCGUGCAGCUCGCUGCAGGCCCGCCGCCAGGCUGAGCCGUCCGGGUUGGUUGCAGGAGCGCCUCCGCAAGGAAGCGCCUCAGAUGAAUGGUCGUCCUCCCGCAAGGGAAGACAGAACCCGGCUUACCGGCCGCCUGAUGCU